GACGAACGCUGGCGGCGUGCUUAACACAUGCAAGUCGAACGGAAAGGCCUGCUUUCCCUUGUGGAUUGCGGGUACUCGAGUGGCGAACGGGUGAGUAACACGUGAGUGAUCUGCCCCCAACUUGGGUAUAAGCCUGGGAAACUGGGUCUAAUUCCCGAUAGGACUGCAGGGUGGUGCCUGCGGUGGAAAACGAUUUUCUAGUGGUUGGGGAUGAGCUCGCGGCCUAUCAGCUUGUUGGUGGGGUAAUGGCCUACCAAGGCGGCGACGGGUAGCCGGCCUGGGAGGGUGGACGGCCACAUUGGGACUGAGAUACGGCCCAGACUCCUACGGGAGGCAGCAGUGGGGAAUAUUGCACAAUGGGCGGAAGCCUGAUGCAGCGACGCCGCGUGGGGGAUGACGGCCUUCGGGUUGUAAACUCCUUUCGACCGCGAGGAAGCCACCUGGUUGGAAGGGUGGUGACGGUAGUGGUAGAAGAAGCACCGGCUAACUACGUG
rnacentral:rRNA from 1 species